UGGGGAAUUUUGGACAAUGGGGGCAACCCUGAUCCAGCCAUGCCGCGUGAGUGAAGAAGGCCUUCGGGUUGUAAAGUUCUUUUACCGAUGAAGAUAAUGACGGUAGUCGGAGAAAAAGCCCCGGCUAACUUCGUGCCAGCAGCCGCGGUAAGACGAAGGAUGCAAGCGUUAUCCGGAUUCAUUGGGUUUAAAGGGUGCGUAGGCGGACUGAUAAGUCAGUGGUGAAAUCUCUCGGCUUAACCGAGAAACUGCCAUUGAUACUGUUAGUCUAGAGUACAGAUGAUGUGGGCGGAAUAUGACAUGUAGUGGUGAAAUACUUAGAUAUGUCAUAGAACACCGAUUGCGAAGGCAGCUCACAAAACUGUAACUGACGCUGAGGCACGAAAGUGCGGGGAUCAAACAGGAUUAGAUACCCCAGUAGUCCCUGAGCGGGCUGGCAAGGCGCAU
rnacentral:rRNA from 1 species